rnacentral:sRNA from 1 species
GUCAACAACCCACGGCUAAAGUCGCGGGCUUGCAAGCCCGUUGUUGAUUAGACUAAGUGCUUCGAGCACUACGUUAUCUAAGAAUGUAUAGGUACCAGGGGAUGUAUAGCCAAGUCCCUUGCUCUA